GACGAACGCUGGCGGCGUGCUUAACACAUGCAAGUCGAACGGAAAGGCCCUGCUUUUGUGGGGUGCUCGAGUGGCGAACGGGUGAGUAACACGUGAGUAACCUGCCCUUGACUUUGGGAUAACUUCAGGAAACUGGGGCUAAUACCGGAUAGGAGCUCCUGCUGCAUGGUGGGGGUUGGAAAGUUUCGGCGGUUGGGGAUGGACUCGCGGCUUAUCAGCUUGUUGGUGGGGUAGUGGCUUACCAAGGCUUUGACGGGUAGCCGGCCUGAGAGGGUGACCGGCCACAGUGGGACUGAGAUACGGCCCAGACUCCUACGGGAGGCAGCAGUGUGGAAUAUUGCACAAUGGGCGGAAGCCUGAUGCAGCAACGCCGCGUGCUGGAUGACGGCCUUCGGGUUGUAAACCGCUUUCGCCUGUGACGAAGCGUGAGUGACGGUAAUGGGUAAAGAAGCACCGGCUAACUACGUG
rnacentral:rRNA from 1 species